UUCCAAUCUAUAUAGUUGAAUUAAAGUGCAAAGAGGAUAAAAAUUUAACAAAUUGAACUCCAAGAUGCAUAUAAGAAUGCUUUGUCAUUACAAGCCUCCAUUCAUUCUUCAUCAUUUCAAGUUGCAGCAACAAAAUACAUGACAAGACACUUAUCAGUAGCUUCCCAUGACCAUGAUAGUGGAUACCAUGAACUGCAUAUCUUGCUUUCGCAAGCCAAAUCCCUGUACCAGAUAUUCAUCUUCACAUCAUAAACCCUGUUUCUUAUCGAGUCAACGGCUUUCAACACACAUAAAUACAUAUAAUUUUUGAUGUUAUAAACCACAAAACAUGACUUGUAAUUCUAACCUUUCACAAAGAUACUACACUCCAUAUCAUAACCAUGGCAGAGAAAGAUGAGACCCCUUGGCUCUGAACUUGGCACCUGCCAAAAAAAUAAAAAGCUUAAACAAUAAAGAAAAGCAUAUUAGACAUCAAAAAAACAGAAUCAUCAAUGUAUUAAAUUGUCAUUGCACUAAACUUGACAUAAUAUAUAGCCAUGAAUCACGAUUGAACAUCUGAGCUUAUUACAUUAACUAAAAUUUUAAGAAAGCACAUUUGCAUGAGUGGAUGACUUUAGUAAAAACAACCUGAUCACAAAUUAAUGAAAUUUAUAUUUCAAUUCAUGAAAUAUGGUGUAGGCCUUACAACACCAUAUCCAGUUGAGACAACCAAAAGAAGCAAGCGAGUAAGAGUCUUCUUGACAGAAAUUAUAGUUGUUGCCCACAAUGUAAUGUCCACUGGCCUAAUUCCAGUAGCAUUAAGAUUAACAUACUCAAAAUACCAACAAGUUAAGCUUAUAGGUUUAGUAUUACAAAUCUUGUAACUCAACACCAUCUUCUUGUUGUUUCAAGAUUCUCAUCAGACUUGUGAAUAUAUAUAACAGUCAAAUUACCUGGGUAAACAUUAUAGUCUAAAAUAUGUGGUGUCUCAGAGUGAUAGUCAGCUGCCAUUUAAAUUUAAAAUGGAUCAAACUUGGGCAUACAACAAUAUAUGUGAAAGUCAGGGAAUCACAAUUCACACAGGGAUUUUGAAUUUUACAAAUAUAUAUGCAAGACCUGUUUAUCUUUGAAUUUUAUUAUACUCUUCCCAUCUAGCUAGUAACAACAAAGCGUACAACUCUCAAAAAAUGAAUCAGCUCUUCUCAUACAACUUAUAUCCAGACUUACUAGAGAUGCAUCUCUUUCCACCAGACCACAUUUUGUGGCAACAGACUAAUCAAAAGCACCAUAUUCUCCAAUAACAGAUGACUGCCAACUGCUAAAUAUAUAUAAAUAACAUCUUAAAGUCAUAUAAAGAUGUCCACAAUAUGUUAGAGAUUUACAAACCUCAUCAGCCAAAACUAAAACUAAAUUAAUAAAAUUAAUAAAAUCAUCUCUCUCCAAACACACAGAUGCAAAACAACAUCCAUCACUUUGUUCACUAAUCACUAUAAUAUACACAACUACAAAUAAAAUCACACACAAAAAAAAAUCGCAUAUAGAUUCCAAUUUUGUCCACAAAUCAAGUAUAAUUAGAGAGCCAAAACCAUUCUUUUACCUCUUUAUAAGGUAAAUUGUUGUUAAAUCAAGCAGAGAGGUCAACGCCGACAUCAAAAACUUGAACCGUCUGGGGUCACUACCGGCACAACAGAUCUGAGUAAGACUUGUAGAAAAUGAGAUAGAGACACAGAGAGAGACCAGGUGGGGGG
rnacentral:lncRNA from 1 species